UACAGAGGUCUCAAGCGUUGUUCGGAUUCAUUGGGCGUAAAGGGUGCGUAGGCGGCGCGGUAAGUCGGGUGUGAAAUCUUGGAGCUUAACUCCGAAACUGCAUUCGAUACUGCGGUGCUUGAGGACUGGAGAGGAGACUGGAAUUCAUGGUGUAGCAGUGAAAUGCGUAGAGAUCAUGAGGAAGACCAGUGGCGAAGGCGGGUCUCUGGACAGUUCCUGACGCUGGAGGCACGAAGGUCAGGGGAGCAAACGGG
rnacentral:rRNA from 1 species